CAAUCAUUUAAGCGCUGCAAUGGAGCUCAAUGUCUGGCUCAGCUGCUGUGUGGUGUAACCUCUGACUCCCACUCCCAGCCCUGUGCACUCACAAACACAGACUGCUCUAAAGAAAGAACGUUUCUCUGGGGUAUGUAACUGCAUAAGGCUCAGCAAGAGAUCAGGCAGAGAGGAAAAUCUCUGUGCAUGGGUCACUUCUUUUCUCUUACUGAUACUAUUUCAAAUCUAAUUGAAACAUUCUUUGGAGAAAGCUGUGCUACCCACCCCUUCAGCUUUGAUAUGGCUUUUUAAUCAGAGGACAUUGUUAUUUCACAAUGAGCAUGGAAAGCAUUUAAAACAUUUUCUAGAUGGAGUGCAUUACUCCUGACCUCAGCUAGAAGACCACAUUAAAAGAAGUUCAGUGGGAUUCACUCUUUACAGCCUUAGGGUUUUGAAAGAUUGGUGCAGAUGUGGGAUUUGCUAAGACACAGGUUCGCUGAUUAUAAAGGCUUAAACAGUGAGAUGACUUAAAAACUGCAAGGUCAGUUCUUGCUGGUGAUUCCUUGCAGUGCUCCAGGGAAUUGUGAUGUGAGCAUUACCCCUAACCAUGUGACACCAUGGGUGAUGCAUUACUGUCAUGUUGGGACUGGGCAGAGCGAUGGUGGAAGGUGGCUCAAGGACUCAAGCCUUCCACUGAGCCUUCCUCUUCACUGGUCCUCCAAGGUGAUGGCUGAGUUCUACCACCACUGUCACUCACAAGCUGUCACAAUGCUUGUCCUGUGGAGGACAGUGAGCUCUGUGGGUACAUUUUCCCAUCACUUCCCAGAACCAAGAAGAGCAUCACUGGAGACCUGCUAUGAUGAAGUACACCAGACUUGCAUUUUUGCUCUGAUCAGUUCUACCAUAUUGUCUCAAGUUUGUUCCCAAUGCGAAGUAAGGAACCUCUGAAGCUGGACUUGCUGGAGUUGUGCAUACAUACAGUGUACAACUUACCUAUUCUGCUAGAUAGUGCUUUUGAGUUUCAGGUUGAAAUAAACACCAGAU
rnacentral:lncRNA from 1 species